GAUGAACGCUGGCGGCGUGCCUAAUACAUGCAAGUCGAGCGAACAGACGAGGAGCUUGCUCCUCUGACGUUAGCGGCGGACGGGUGAGUAACACGUGGAUAACCUACCUAUAAGACUGGGAUAACUUCGGGAAACCGGAGCUAAUACCGUAUAAUAUAUUGAACCGCAGGGUUCAUUGGUGAAAGUCGGUUUUGCGGUCACUACUAGAUGGAUCCGCGCUGCAUUAUCUGGUUGUGAGGUUAACGGCUUACCAAGGCAACGAUGCGUAGCCGACGUGAGGGGCGGAUCGGCGACACGAGAACUGAGACGCGGACCAUACUCCUACGGGAGGCAGCAGUAGGGAAUGUUCGGCAACGGGCGAAAGCAUGACGGAGCAAGGCGGAGUGAGUGAUGAAGGUCUUCGGAUCGGAAAGAUCUGUUAUUAGGGAAGAACCAAUGUGUAAGUAGCUAUGCACGUCUUGACGGUACCUAAUAAGAAAGCCACGGCUAACUACGUG
rnacentral:rRNA from 1 species